GAAGGACACUCCUGCUGUGCUUGGGAGGGGAACUUACACCCGGCGGUCCCCAAGCCGCUGAAGUGGGAGACCCUGACAAGGAGUGUGCCAGCCACAGCGUACCCUGAGGAAUCCAAGGAGCCCUGAAAGCAAGAGACACAGCCAUGGAAUCCUUUCAAAUACAGCACUAGGCAAGAAUCCAACUUCCUUUUGGAUGUUCUUUUAUUCAUGCUAACUGAGUUGGCCUUACAACACGGGACUCCAGCAGGACUCCAAGCUUCCAGGAACAGAAGGAAAAAUGGGCCUGGAGUUGCCUGCUCCUACCAUUUCUGCUCCCAGAUUGGGGACCAGGCAGUGCAUUGCUGCCUCCUCUGGUCUCACUGCCAGACAGAAAGAGAGACCAGGACAAUUUGAAACAGCUACCCGACUCUUGUUCACUGCAAGUUUCCAGUCCAUACUGAG